rnacentral:rRNA from 1 species
GACGGGGCCCGCACAAGCAGUGGAGUAUGUGGUUUAAUUCGAAGCGACGCGAAGAGCCUUACCAGGGCUUGACAUCCCUUGAAGCAGCUAGAGAUAGCUGUGUCCUUUCGGGACAAGGAGACAGGUGGUGCAUGGUUUGUCGUCAGCUCGUGUCGUGAGAUGUUGGGUUAAGUCCCGCAACGAGCGCAACCCCUACGGUUAGUUGCUAACGGGUAAGGCCGAGCACUUUAGCCGAACUGCCGUUGACAAAACGGAGGAAGGCGGGGAUGACGUCAAAUCAUCAUGCCCUUUAUGUCCUGGGCUACACACGUGCUACAAUGGCCUGUACAAAGGGCAGCAAAGGGGCGACCCGGAGCAAAUCCCAAAAAACAGGUCUCAGUUCGGAUUGCAGGCUGCAACUCGCCUGCAUGAAGGCGGAAUCGCUAGUAAUCGCAGGUCAGCAUACUGCGGUGAAUACGUUCCCGGGCCUU